AUUGAACGCUGGCGGCAGGCUUAACACAUGCAAGUCGAGCGGGGUGAUGGUGCUUGCACUAUCACUUAGCGGCGGACGGGUGAGUAAUGCUUAGGAAUCUGCCUAUUAGUGGGGGACAACAUCUCGAAAGGGAUGCUAAUACCGCAUACGUCCUACGGGGGAAAGCAGGGGAUCACUUGUGACCUUGCGCUAAUAGAUGAGCCUAAGUCGGAUUAGCUAGUUGGUGGGGUAAAGGCCUACCAAGGCGACGAUCUGUAGCGGGUCUGAGAGGAUGAUCCGCCAAACUGGGACUGAGACACGGCCCAGACUCCUACGGGAGGCAGCAAUGGGGAAUAUUGGACAAUGGGGGGAACCCUGAUCCAGCCAUGCCGCGUGUGUGAAGAAGGCCUUAUGGUUGUAAAGCACUUUAAGCGAGGAGGAGGCUCUUUUGGUUAAUACCCAGAAUGAGUGGACGUUACUCGCAGAAUAAGCACCGGCUAACUCUGUGCCAGCCGCCGCUGUAACAC
rnacentral:rRNA from 1 species